rnacentral:lncRNA from 1 species
UCCCAUCCUCGUGUUGAUGCCACAAAAAAGAAAUUACUUGCAAAACAUCAUUGGUUCAGUUCGUGCUGCAAUAGGACAUCCACAACCCUUUAUGCUGGAUGCUCUACUACAGAUGUUUGCAAUUCAGUUUUAUAUCAUUCUUUCCUAGCAGGGUAGAAAAUAUGCACAUGAUUGAGCAUUUUGGUGAAUCAAGAGCUUUCCUA